rnacentral:ncRNA from 1 species
GAAAUGCCGAUGAUUAAGAGUAGUAGUCAGAUUGAUCUGCUUACAGAGAGCUGGUAAAAAGGUGCAAGCCGGCAGCGGAUUCUGAAUGAAUGGACUUAUAGGCUCGGGAGGAAAGGGAAAUCCCAAGUAAUGCCCGACGGGAGCUUCAUCCGUUAUCAGCGGAGCAUAUAUUUUGUAUAUGAAAUUAAGAGGGCGUUUUACGCCAAGCCGGGUGGCACCGCAGAAGUUAUGACUUUUGUCCCAGUA